UACGAAGGGUGCAAGCGUUACUCGGAAUUACUGGGCGUAAAGCGUGCGUAGGUGGUGAGUUAAGUCUGAUGUGAAAUCCCCGGGCUCAACCUGGGAAUGGCAUUGGAUACUGGCUCGCUAGAGUGCGGUAGAGGGUGGUGGAAUUCCCGGUGUAGCAGUGAAAUGCGUAGAGAUCGGGAGGAACAUCUGUGGCGAAGGCGGCCACCUGGACCAACACUGACGCUCAGGCACGAAAGCGUGGGGAGCAAACAGG
rnacentral:rRNA from 1 species